rfam:Vibrio anguillarum 775 chromosome I, complete sequence.
UCACGCACAGGGCAAACCAUUUGAAAAGAUGGGACGCAAAGCCUCCGGCCUAAACCGACUAUUCGGUAGGUAGCGGGGUUGCCGAU